AGAGACCAAAAUCGAGAUAAGUGAUUGUUUCCUUCUUCUGCCUUUAGGCAGGAAAAUAGUCUUCAGUUUAUCUUUAUUUCAUACACAUGUAUAGUUUUUGCCUUUAGUGGGUCGAUAGUCAUUUUAGUAGUUGGAUGUGAUUUUAUUAUUCCGUCAGCGAUAAUUCCCUCUCUUCGUUUGGAUGAGAUUUUAUUUUUUUGCUUUUUAUUCUCUUUAUAGAUGCUAAUAUUUAUUUUCGAG
rnacentral:lncRNA from 1 species